CCUUAUCCUUAGUGUCAGGUAUGUGACCACAUAAUAUCAAUGAUAUCUAGCAUAUAACAAGAGUUUCUAGAUAUGCAGAGAAGCAGAAAAAAGUGACUCUUAACCAGAAAAAUGAAACUAUAAAUACAAACACACUCAAAGAUGAAUGAACAUAUGGAGAAUAUUAAUAGAGAGGAAAAGUACACCAAAAACUUAAAAUUCUAGAACUGAAAAAAAUACAAUGUCUGAAAUGAAAAUUCAGUGAGUGGGCUUAACAAAAACUUACAGAGACCCAAUGUCUUGUGAAACAAUAUCAAGUAUUUUAACAUAUGUGUAAUUCAAGUCCUAAAUGGAGAAGUGUGAAAUAGGGGUGGAAAAGCAACUGAAGACAUAUUAUCCAGAUUUUUUUUAACUGAUGAAAAAUAUCGAUCCACAGAUCCCAGGCCCUCAACACAUCCCAAGCAAGACAAACACAAAGAAAACCAAACCUAAAUGUGUAAUAAUCAAAUUUCUGAAAAUUAAAGGUAAAGAAAAAUUAUAAGCACAUGUGAGAUUUGUAAUCGUCAUCUUACCAAGAGCAUGAGAGAGUUUAAAAACACAUUUGCAUUAUAUAGAGAGAACCAACAGUGUGAAUUAUCUCUGACUUAUCAAAAGAAAUCAUACAAGCCAGAAAACAAUGGAAUAAUAUUUUUAAGUGCAUAAAGAAAAAUCAAAAACAAAAACUAUCAACUCAUAAUUCUACAUCUAGGAAAAAUAUUCUUCAAGAAUAAAGUCAAAAUUAAGAUAUAUUUUCAGAUUAAAAAAGCUAAGAUAAUCACAGAUAAAGCACACAGAUUAUAACCCUUAGAGAAACUGCAAGAGCAUUUGAAACAGUCACCGAAAUACACCAUGUGCUAAGCCAUCAAAUAGCUCUCAAUAAAUUUCAAGAGACUGAAAUAAUAAGUGUUCAUUCUCCAGUAACACUGGAAUUAAACUCGAAACUUACAAAAAUGUACAUCAUAAAAAUAUUGGGAUCUCUUCACCUGUCCAACCUUUAAAUGUCGGAAUGCUCAGAGUUUACUUCUCAGACCUCUUCUCCAUACUCUCUGUACACUCUCUUAUUAGCAUAUAGGUGAUUUGAAAUAGCCCCUACGUGCUAAUAACUCUCCUAGAUUUUAUAAAUCUCCAGCCAGGGCUUUCACAAGUGAUGCCCUGGCUCCCACUCUUGUUCCCUCGACAGUCCUUUCUCUGGGCAGCAAGCCAGAGUGGUCCUCCUAAGACAUAAGUCAGACCACGUUUCUUUUAAGCUAAAGCCAUCCAACCGUUCCUCUAACUCAUUCUAAGUUGGAUCUGCCCCUGGCUACCUCUCUGCUUCAUCUACUACUUUCCCACUUGUGCCCUCCACUAUAGACUUUCGUGCUGCUCUAGGAACAUAUAAUAAGUAUGUUCCCACCUCAAGGCUCAGAAUUGGCUGUGACAGCCUUUCCCCCUAACUCACAUGGAGACUAAUAACAUAUUUUUUCAGUUGCUCAGUGCCUACAUCUGCCCAAUUGUAUUCAACCUCAGAAAUCAUGGCAGUUUGGAGUAAGUCUCCUGGAAAACAAGUGUGGCACCUGACUGAGGAUGUGUAGUGUUCAUCCGGGCUGAGGUGUUUUCUGAAGGGGAAGGGGCAGGCGAGAGCCGUGUGGCAGAGGAAAUCUUCGCUGUGGGUCCUAUUCUGGGAGUAUGGGGGGACUUGGCAUGGUGGAAGUCCUGGAUGGACCACAGGAACGUCACCUCUUAAUGCUGUUCAAAAAGAGGAAGCUCAUCCGUCGGAGGCCACAAGGCCCUCUGCCAGCGUGCCGAGACAGGUGGUCCAGCAGAAAUAAGAAACACAGAAUGAAAAGAUAACUUGGCACCUAAAGUUUUAACCAGCUAACAAACAAAUGGCAUUGAGAAAUUUGGAAUAAAUCCAGACAUGGUGGUUCACGCCUAUAAUCCCAGAGCUUUGGGAGGCCAAGGCAGGAGGAUUGUUUGAGCCCAGAAGUUCAAGACCAGCCUAGGCAACAUAGCAAGACCCCCCAUCUCUACAAAAAAAUUGAAAAAUUAGCUAGAUAUGGGGUUCAUACCUGUGGUUCCAGCUUCUCAGGAGGCUGAGGCAGGAGAUUUGCCUGAGCCCAGGAGUUUGAGGCUGCAGUGAGCUGUGAUUGCACCACUGCACUCCAGCCUGGGUAAUGGGGAUUCCCGAAAUCCACAAUAGCUGCUGAAGCUACAUGGAAGCAGAAGAUAGGCUGUGAAAGUCAGAAGGAUAAAUAGCUCUUAGAUCUCAUCCCCUAGGUGAUUGCUACACAAAAUGUUUGCAAAACCCUUUUCUGUGGCA
rnacentral:lncRNA from 10 species